AUUGAACGCUGGCGGCAGGCUUAACACAUGCAAGUCGAGCGGGGGAAGGUAGCUUGCUACCGGACCUAGCGGCGGACGGGUGAGUAAUGCUUAGGAAUCUGCCUAUUAGUGGGGGACAACAUCUCGAAAGGGAUGCUAAUACCGCAUACGUCCUACGAGAGAAAGCAGGGGAUCUUCGGACCUUGCGCUAAUAGAUGAGCCUACGUCGGAUUAGCUAGUUGGUGGGGUAAAGGCCUACCAAGGCGACGAUCUGUAGCGGGUCUGAGAGGAUGAUCCGCCACACUGGGACUGAGACACGGCCCAGACUCCUACGGGAGGCAGCAGUGGGGAAUAUUGGACAAUGGGGGGAACCCUGAUCCAGCCAUGCCGCGUGUGUGAAGAAGGCCUUAUGGUUGUAAAGCACUUUAAGCGAGGAGGAGGCUACUUUAGUUAAUACCUAGAGAUAGUGGAUGUUACUCGCAGAAUAAGCACCGGCUAACUCUGUGCCAGCAGCCGCAGUAA
rnacentral:rRNA from 1 species